rnacentral:tRNA from 1 species
GCCCAGGUGGUGAAAUGGUAAACACAAGGGACUUAAAAUCCCUCGGUCUAACGACUUUGCGGGUUCAAAUCCCGCUCUGGGUA